GUCCCUGCUCCAGCUGGCCCAGUCCCCGGGGGGCUCAAUCUGACAUUACUGUUGUUACUAUUGAACAUUCAUCUUGACGCGUUGCCAUUGUGCCAGGUUCUGAAUUCCAAUAUCUUCCCAGGGAAUGGGACUCCUCACCCUGGAAUCGCAGCUCAUUCAUUUCACCCCUUCAAGCUUCAUCUCCCCAUCACAAUGGUGCAGCGUGUGCUAAGCUGUCUGUCUGGGACUGUGCCCUUCUCAGCAAUAGGUCCUGUGUCUGCACUGUGCUCAAGGGGGGAGCCCCUCAACUCCAUUGGCUUCAGCACCUCUGCUUCUCACUGGGGCUCCUUCAGCAGGUCCCUACCGGCUUGGACCCUGCUGGAGACUUCGCCUCUUGAGAGCAAACAUCUGCAGUGACACAAGACAGCCUGUUUCAAACAAGCCAGAACACAAUGCUCCGGGACACUGGGUGAAAUAAUUUCCUGUUCCCACCGGAGAAUUCAGAGAGACAGAGUAUGUGCUUACAAAAGCUCAACAAAAUCCUGUUACCCAAGGGAUACAGAAGGGUCCAUUUGGAAAAAUUCCAAAUCCUGAAAGGAGUUACAUUCGCCAAUGUGUGAUCAGGCACUGCAUUGCUCUAACUCCGUGUUGGAGGGACACAGCUCUUCACCAAACAAGGCUUAUAGGAAGGGGCAUGCCUUCAAAAACCAGGACAGACUCAGCAUGACUCAGAGGAAGUUUGAAAUGAGGUGGGCUCCAUCCCUUUAACACAAAGUGUUUCCUCUCACCUCAGCUCCUAGAGUCAGCAUUUCUGUUGUCACCUAUGUAACAAGCAACACAGGGCUUGCUUGGGCAGGAGAGGACUAUGGGUCUGAAAUAAGCACUGCGCCUUGGAAUGAAGAACAGCUGAGAGGCUGUGGCACAGAGAUCUCUUGGUGCCAACUGGCAAAAUGUUCGCUGUUCUUUGCUGUCUC